AUGGGAACGCGAAGAACCUUACCUAGACUUGACAUCUUCUGCAUUAAUCGUAAUGGAUGAAAUCCCUUCGGGGACAGAAUGACAGGUGGUGCAUGGUUGUCGUCAGCUCGUGUCGUGAGAUGUUGGGUUAAGUCCCGCAACGAGCGCAACCCCUAUUACUAGUUGCUACCAUUAAGUUGAGCACUCUAGUGAGACUGCCCGGGUUAACCGGGAGGAAGGCGGGGAUGACGUCAAAUCAUCAUGCCCCUUAUGUCUAGGGCAACACACGUGCUACAAUGGUGAGUACAGAUAGAUGCGAUACCGCAAGGUGGAGCCAAACUCUAAAACUCAUCCCAGUUCGGAUUGUAGGCUGCAACUCGCCUACAUGAAGUUGGAGUUGCUAGUAAUCGCGAAUCAGAAUGUCGCGGUGAAUACGUUCCCGGGUCUUGUACACACCG
rnacentral:rRNA from 1 species